AUACGGAGGAUCCGAGCGUUAUCCGGAUUUAUUGGGUUUAAAGGGUGCGUAGGCGGCCUUUUAAGUCAGCGGUUAAAUCGUGGGGCUCAACCCCAUUCUGCCGUUGAUACUGGGUGGCUUGAUUGCGGUCGAGGUUGGCGGAAUUCGUUGUGUAGCGGUGAAAUGCAUAGAUAUGACGAAGAACACCGAUUGCGUAGGCAGCUGACCAGACCGCAAAUGACGCUCAUGCACGAAAGUGCGGGGAUCGAACAGGAUUAGAUACCCUGGUAGUCCGCACAGUAAACGAUGAAUACUUGUUUUCGGCGAUAUAAUGUCGGAGGCAAAGCGAAAGCGAUAAGUAUUCCACCUGGGGAGUACGCCGGCAACGGUGAAACUUAAAGGAAUUGACGGGG
rnacentral:rRNA from 1 species